GUUAUCCGUACCGCCAUGUUGGUACAGAGCAUCAAGAGCUGUGCUCUUUUGGUCAGCUUUAGGAACAUUCUGAAAUUGCCACAAGUGUGUGGGUACCUGAAGCUCUGUUGCUAGCUGCUGUGAGAGGGAGGGAUGAUUCUCAGGAUGUACCGGGAAACAUUGGGAUGAAGCAGGCUUCGUGUCGACACUGACGAAUCCGAGCUAACCAUGCCUUGUCAGGAUAAAUGAUGAUGUGGUGCUGUAUCUGGGGUUGAAAGAAAUGCAAAUGUGCUGCUGACUUCUAUGGGGAAUGGGAGGAGUCCUGAUGUUUUUCCUUUUCUUAAGACAAUAGAUGCAAAAUGUCUGCACUAAUGUUAUGUUCGGUUUAGACCCUUGCUUUUACUGUCUCCUACUGCACUUUCUUGCCUUCUAGUUCUACCGUUUGAGAAGUUAAAUUUAUGUGCACAUGCAAAAAGGUUUGGACCUU
rnacentral:sRNA from 1 species